CUUGACGCACAGACGGGAACAGCCUGGAAGUGUGAUUGGGAAAAGAAGUGGCAGCUGAGUGACUGCUACCCAAACAGGAGAGGUAUUUUAAAUUGUUUUGCUUUUUCUACAUGUUCAAACUAUGUCUCCUUCAACCCCCUCUAAGCCCUGGAAGUAAUAUUACAGAGCAAUUUAUCCCCCGCUGCACAACCUCCACCGCCUCAUUCAACUUAAAGGGCGCGUAAUUCAAUCACGAAUCGUGGAUUAUGGAAAAGCUUACAAGCGGUGCCGUGUGUGUCAGAGAAUUGGAGAUUGACAGGAUUGUGGAUUUGUCGCUGUUUGGCGGGACUAAACUCGCGCUGCGCUCCGCUCGCUGAGACGCAGAGGUUGGCGCAGGUGGAGUCAGGACAGGAGGAACACUCAGACUGCAGUAUUCAUGGAGGAGCCGCUACAACAAGUGGGGGUCAUGCACUUUAGAUCCCAAAACACCCACACAGACACAGACAAGCCUUUACCUUCACAUCAGUACAAUUACUCCUACGCCGGAAGGGAGACAACUCAGGAUGUUACAGAUGAACUUACCCUGCAAGACAAAGGCCUGGUGCUCAACCCAGUGAAUGUAGGAGACAGCGACGGGCAUCCUCCAGUUGAGCUCCUGACCUGAUGCACCUUCAUCCAUCUUUGAAGCUGCAGGCUCCUCCACUGUGAAAACUGCUGUUUAGUCUGUGGGUCAUAGCCGUUGACUCAAUGCUAGCCACAAGGGAUGAUGCUCAACAUGAGGGAAGGUUCAUCCUGGACCUGCCAAAGACCCGAGUAGACCUUGACUCCAUGCUACUUCUGCAGGUCCACGGUGAAAUCACAAAUGCACACCUGCAAGUGGAUACAAAAACACAUUUGACACAGCUAAUGAUGGUGAUUUGCAACCUGUCACAGAAUCACUAACCCACCUGCAGCAUGUGCAUGAGUGUGGGCAUUCUUGGGCAACAGGAGUAGAAACUUUCUGAUUACAGCUCUUUUUUUAUGGAAAUAACAAUACAUCAAAUUAGAAUGUAGAACCUGUAAAACAAAAUGAAAGGGUGCCACAGACAAAAAUGAAAUCACACAGAAUUUUCAAGCAAAUGUGCUGCUUCGUGGAGAUUGGUUUAGUUCCAAGGUAUGGCUCAACUUUACUACAUGCUUUGGUUCUCUCGCACCACAGCAUCAUUUUCACAUAGAGCAGGAUGCUGUGGGAAAGCUCUCAAACAUUGCUAACACACUGCCCUCUCAGUACCCAACAGCAGACAUUUAGUGACUACCUUGUGAAAGAACAUAGUGGAGCAUUUAGCAGCUAAAGUUUCAGAUAUUUUCCUCAGAAGCCGGUAGAGACCAAACACAGAGUUAAGGACAAAAGCACAAAUAUUUCGCAUUCACGGCCAGAUUAAUGGUUAAGAUGCUCUUUAUCUGCUAGAUUUAGCUACUCUUCUUAAACAAGUUUGCCAAAUGAAUUUGUCAGUUCUGUGUGCACAAAUUGUUUCCUCUGUCCCCAAGUAGAAAGUAUCACCUUUGCUGCAGACUGAAAUCAAUAGAGCUCCCAAUCAAAUUGUCCUAUUUUCAUUUUUUAUCUUCUCCUACCUUUCUCACAUCCUCUCAUUGGCCUGCUCUCUCUGUCUCAUUCAUUUGGAUAGUGUCAGAUCAGAAACUGUGAGGAAAGGGACUUGCAGAAUUGCCUAGAGUCUAAUCUGCAGUGAAAACAAAAGGCGUACUGCCAAAGCACUUUAUUAUGCUUUGGCAAUAAUGGAGGGUCAUAAAUGGUACCUGCACAGCAAGGCUGAGUAAUUCCUGCAGUGAUUACUGUGGUGUUAUUAUUUAUGACCCCCAAUCAUUUUCAAAUACCUGUGCAAACAGCAGAUAACAGAAAAUAUGUCAAUGACAACACCUGUAUGAUGUGAUCAGCUAUAAUGACAGAAAAAGAGGCUACAGAAAGAUGGCUUUUUAACAUCACUAGUGGGCAGCAUGUUAGCCACGUUUGCUGUAGCUUUAUAUCUCUGACAAACGUUAAAAAACAAUUACUCCACAUAGGAGCUUUUAAAAAAGCUCGCUUUGAGGUGGUCAAAGGUAUUAAAAAGUGCGAAGGAAAAGGUGAAACCCUAAAAAAUGAAAUACUGUUGUCAAUUUUUAAAGUGUGGUCUUACAUUCACACUCAGUGAUGGUCUCUGUCCUUUAAAGCAGCUAGAUCAGCUGCAGAUAAGGAGACAGAGAGAGAGAUUAUGGUGCAUAUAAAAUGUCAGCGAGGGUAAAGAGAUGGGAAACAGAAGUAGUGCAAGCAGCAGCAGAGAGAGAGACUGUGUGAGAGAGGGAACUUCCAGAACAUCAUGAAAUAUGCAAGAUAAUUACUGGUCAAACUUUCUCUAAAUACUGCAUGUGUUGAGUUUUAUAAGAUGCUGGUGUCUGGAAAAUGGGACAGAGAAAAUGGGAGUAAGAGGACGUACGUUUGUGUCGUCUCCAUGUGUGCAUGUGUAUGGGUGAGUGUGAAGCUGAUGACAUUCAGUUGUUGGAUGACAUUUUUGAAAAUACACUUUAGAGGCACACACAAACACAAAGAGCGGCUGCACUUACAGUACAUGUUCUAAGACAUAAAGGCACAAACAGAACAUGAAAACACACUGAGUGGGCAUAUUUGGGGCUAUCUAAGAUCUCAUUUCAGAAGAUGCUCUGCUUAAAAUGGUUCCCCACUUGGGAACUGAAGUGAAGGAAGUGGAAGUGUAGCGUCGAGUCCUGAUUGAUAAACCAUGUAUGUCUGUUUGUGUGAGUGUAUGUGUGUGUGCAUGUGUCUAAAGUGAGAUAGUGGCAAAUGGAAGUUGUAGAGAUCGAGCUGACACUAAAGGACUCUUGACAUGA